rnacentral:rRNA from 1 species
UACGUAGGGUGCGAGCGUUAAUCGGAAUCACUGGGCGUAAAGGGUGCGUAGGCGGCCGCGCAAGUCUGGCGUGAAAGCCCCGGGCUCAGCCCGGAAGGGCGCUCGAAACGGCGCGGCUCGAGUGCCGGAGGGGAGAGUGGAAUUCCUGGUGUAGCGGUGAAAUGCGUAGAUAUCAGGAGGAAUACCGGUGGCGAAAGCGACUCUCUGGACGGCAACUGACGCUGAGGCACGAAAGCGUGGGGAGCAAACAGG